AAAAGUAAGCAAGUAAAAAUUAAGAAAUUCUUUCACACUAAACAUCAAGCAAGACAAACGAAACUCCUAAUCAAUCUUAACACAUGAAAACUAAAACACGAUUAAGAACAUCUAAACAGAAAAUAUAGAAAUUAAAUAGAAUAAAGCUAAGAAUAGAUUUUACCUUAAUCUGAAAGAAUGAAAUUUCAGGUCUAAACCUUCGAUGAGAACAGUGUCCUCUCAACUUCGAUUCGCAAUGAAAACAGGAGAAUGAGAGGGCUAUUUCUAGGGUUCGAAAUUUUUGAUAAAAUAUACCCAAAUCAAUGUGGGAUUCGUCAGAUUUUUCGUACGAAAUAGUACCAAGAUCAAACGGAUUUUUGAAAGGGAUUUGAGAAAUUGCAGGGUGUGGCUUGAUUCCGGAACGGAUACUCGUAUAAGGCACGUGAACUGAACGAAUGAGGGGGAAGACAGGCUGAGCGUCGUCGUUUGAAAUGGAUUCUGUUCUUGUUGGUGGAGUUUACGAGGAAGAAGAAGUAGAGAAAGAGGUGCAUCUGGGGCCUUUCGUGCGUUCUUAUGAGGGGAAAAAGAGAGGGGAGCUGAGGCGC
rnacentral:lncRNA from 1 species